rnacentral:rRNA from 1 species
GGAAUCUUCGGCAAUGGGGGCAACCCUGACCGAGCAACGCCGCGUGAGUGAAGAAGGUUUUCGGAUCGUAAAGCUCUGUUGUAAGAGAAGAACGUGUGUGAGAGUGGAAAGUUCACACAGUGACGGUAACUUACCAGAAAGGGACGGCUAACUACGUGCCAGCAGCAGCGGUAAUACGUAGGUUGCAAGCGUUAUCCGGAAUUAUUGGGCGUAAAGAGUGAGCAGGCGGCUUUGCAAGCCGGGGGUUAAAUGCAGUGGCUUAACCACUGUUCGUCCCCGGAACUGCAUGGCUAGAGUGCUGGAGAGGCAAGCGGAACUCCACAUGUAGCGGUGAAAUGCGCAGAUAUGUGGAAGAACACCAGUGGCGAAGGCGGCUUGCUAGACAGUAACUGACGCUCAGUCACGAAAGCGUGGGGAGCAAAUA